rnacentral:lncRNA from 15 species
AGCCGGAGACGCUGGACUGCUGAGAGCCGCCUCAUUGUGUCGUUUGGACCCGGACUGGACGCACCGUCUCUCUCUCUGUCCGUCGGUGUCUCUCUCUCUCGCGGUGGAUUUAUACCUGAACGGGGCUCCGCUGCUCCCGGACGAGGAUUUUCCUGCCGGUUUCGGUCCCCGUUUAUUUGGGAAUAACCAGGAGCUGUUGUGGAUUAAUGUGGACUGUGUGUUCGGAUCCCGGUUCUCCUCUUCUUCUGAUCCGGAGGAUGUGGACUCAGAAAGAUUUAUAAACAGAGGACUUAAUCCAGACCAGAGCAACAUUUGGACUUCUUCGCCUUCUCUUCCUGGAUUUGGACAUUUCUCCCUCACUGAUUGGCUCUCCUGUGCAGCUGCCUGUGAUUGGACAGUCCUGAAUUCAAGGACGUCUGAGGGGGUCCACCCCCGCCUCUUGACUUCCUGGAACGUGGUGAGCACUUCCUGUACCUGACUGGCUGGAAGCUUCUCCUGUGCGUCACCGCAGAUUUUUACACUGUAAGUAUCUUGUACGUUUUUCCACAUGUCAAACACCAAAAUACGCCUUCGUUAAUGAGCCGUUGAGCGUUCUGGGAUCUGCAUCCACGAAGUGCUGAAAUAAGUUAAGCAGAAGUUCAUUUAAUCAAAGCACGACGGCAUCAGGAGGUGAGGAAAAGAUUAAAGAUUAAAGAAGGAAAGUCAAAAGGAUUUUUUGAAAGUUUCCAGUGAGGAAAAGACUGAAAUUACGCUGUGUUUUAUAAAGUAUGACAGAUAAUAAAAUACAAUAAAAUAAAAUAAAUAAAAUAAAAUAAUAAAAGUGUGUUUCAGGUUGAAGUUAAACAAUUUGGAAGUUAAUAGAAAGUGUCUGCAGUGAUAAUAAAGUUGUUUCUUGUAGUCAAAUUCACAUCAACAUGAAUCACUUUAUUGUAACGUCAGUAAACAUCGGCUCCAUUUAGACCACUGGUUCCUAACCUGCGGUGUCCACUGCCUCUAGGGUGCGCCAAAGCUUCACAAGGGGGCGAGGCUUUUUUUAAAUAUGUACAGUAGGUCUAAAUUUUAGCAUUAUUUCUGUAAAAAAAAAUGUAAUCUUUAUUUUUGAAGUGUUAAUGAUUAUUUAAGGUGGAAACUUCUGAAGCUUCACACUCAACACGCUGUUGUUGACUCGUGUAUUUUGUCCAUAGAACGAAACAAAAUGGUGUUUCUCUUCUUCUGAGAUAAACAUCUCCACUGACUGACUUCCUGUAUGAUGCCUUAGUGUUGAUUUUGUGUGGGGUCUUUUAUUUUGAAAUGACUGGAUUCCCUAUGCUGUUUCUGCCAAUGCGAUCUGCUCUGCGCUGCUUGUGCACUUACCAACAAAAAUAGAUGCUUCGGGACGCACCACAGUGCUUCUGGUGGAAUAACGAGCUUUGUGGAGAACGGAAGAGAGAGAAGAAAAAAAGAGUGUAAGAAACAGAAAGGAGGAAAGAGAAGAGAGGAGGAGUUGAACUUCUGAGGUGAACAGAGGAUGAAUAACAGCAGAGGAAGAGGAGUUAUGCUGCUCUUCAUCUUUCUUCUGAUAAAUCUCCUUAUUCAUUCGUUCUUUUAUCCAAAUCUGUCUUUUCUCCUCCACUCUUCCAGCUGUCUGAUUCCAGUCUCUGAUUGGCUUUUCUUCUUUUCUGACUCCUUCAUCUUCCUUCCUCCCUCUCUCAUCCCUCCUUCACUCUUUCAUCAACCUCCGUUCGUUCUCAUUUAAAGUCUCGUCAUUUACUCUCGUUCUCUCCGGCCAAACUCAGAUCUUCUGCUCAGUGAUGGUUGAAAUCGGGAAAGCGUGGCGGUGAAAUCUUUGAACAGAGAAGCAGAACUCCUCUGGUUCCUCUGGAGGAACAGGACUGCCGAUUAAUGGAAACAGAAAAAGAAAGAUGGAUGGAUGAGUGAGCGAGAAGUGACGGGACGUGUCCACUGGGGUGUUUUUGGAGGCGAGGCAUCCUCCUACAACCACACAAACACUUCCUGCCUGCACCUGAUUGGACGAAGCUUUCUGCUCAACAUGGCGGCUUGUGUGGCGAGAGUCAUCAGAGAGACAGCGACAGAACGUAGAGUCCGAAUAUUUUAUAUAUUUGAAUCUGUUAGACAAUUGAAUUUUUCUGUUUAAUAAGGAAAUAAUGUUAUUUUGAUUAGAUUUUUAAUUAAUUAAUUUUAGGGGCCUUCUUGAUUUUAAGGGGUUCAAAAAAAUAUAUACACAGUGGGCCGAUAUCUCAACAUUUCAUUUAUUUCUGUGAAAUAAUAUAUAAUAUAAAAGAAAUAUUAUUUUUUCAAGUUUAGAUUAUUAUUUAAGAGCUAACCUUUGAAGAUCAGAGCCUUCACUCUCAAACAGCCUCUACCUGCAUUAAAGAAAGUUCAAACAACCAAAGAGCUGAUAGAACAAUAAGAAGAAAAGACUGAAUCUGUCAAAAAGAAGCCUAUAAAGUCUGUUUGAUUGUUUAAAAUUAUUAAAAAUACAUAAUACAGACAGAAUUGUAUAAAAAUCAGAAAAACUCUGAUCGAUAUUCACAGGAAUAAUCUGCUUAAAAUUCAUCCAAAUCUCUGGUUGUACACACACUUCCUGCAGUUAUUGAGUUCACUGUUUGGGUUCACUGUUCAUUGUUCAGUUCAUUUAACUAUU